GUUCCUGUGGUGUAGACCGGUCAAGCAUUUUGCCCUUUCAAGGCAAAGAUCCCGGGUUCAAAUCCCGGCAGGAGCACCA
rnacentral:tRNA from 2 species